rnacentral:lncRNA from 1 species
CCACCGCGCCCGGCCGGGCAUCCUCUUUAAAGGUAAAACUUCAGGCGAAAUGUGUGACUCAGCACUGUCUUUGAGCAUGUAGUGUGUGCUCAGCCUGGGACCCCUCACCCCCACCAGCAGUCAUGCCAGCGGGGGACUUAACAGAAGAGGGGACUGGCCUUCCCUGGGGUUGAGCGCCCUGACCGAGGUCACACAGCUGGUGAGCAGGGAGACCGGGAUCCUGCCACCUCCGCUAGGUGCAAACCCUGUGCUGAGCCCUAAGAGCUACCACGGGAGGCCACCAUCCGCUGAGCUCCUGCUGCACUGCGGCCCGGCUCUAGCAUUUUCUAUGUCUUAACUCAGUUCCUUCUCACCCCAACCCCAUGGGGCGGUGCUGAGAUUCUCCCCGUCUUAUAGAAGGGGAAGUUAAGGCAAGGAGAGGUUAGAAGAGCCAGCAAGGGGGCCACACGGCCAGUAGGCGGCGCUGAGUGUGUUGCAGCAGGUCCCACGGAAGAAGCAAAGUUGUGGGAGCCCUACUUCCUGCGGAGCCCCUCCCCCACCUCCCUGCCAUCCACUUCCUGCUGCUGACCUAGGAUUGCUGGCAAUAAAACCGCAAGAGUGUGCAUGGAGGAGGCCCUUAACAUCCACACUGUCACUUAACUUUUACAACCUCCACAUGAUCGAUAUGACAGAUAUUUAUCCUGUUCUUCUCUCUAACAGAUGUGAGGGAGUCUUGGCCCAAAGAACUUCAGUCACUUGCCCGGGACUCACAGUGAGUUGUGGAGCCUUGAGAAGUCCAGGGUGGCCCCACGGCAAAGUGGGGGGCUCCCUGCCUUAUAAGGCACAAGGCGGAGCUCAGAGGGGGCCCAGAGUUGGCCCACACUGCUCCAGAAUCGGGGUCACACUCAGGUCUCCCAAGUCCUGGACUGUGUUCACCCUGCCCUGCUGCUCGAACUUUUCAAUAACUGCCACUUUGAGAUGGGCUGACUUGACGUACCCUCUCCUUAAAACUGUGAAAUGUUUUUUUCAAACUGAAGGAAACUCCCAGGCCCCUGCCCACUCAUGCCAACGGUGGCUCACACACAGGUGAUUCUCAAUGUCAGUCACCAUCCCUCAUUACAUCCCAGCCCUGUGAGGCAGGCAAAGUGUCAUGCCCAUUUCAUAGAUGGGGAAACUGAGGUUCAAAGAGGCCUGCUGUUUGCCCCUGGGCAUUUAGCAGUGCCUGGCAGAGCUGGGAAUCACCUGGGCUGUUGAGCGCUGUGUCUUGGGUGUAGCCCCUGAAUCGCCGUGCCAGUUUCUUUGGUUUGAGACCUUUACUGGCUCUGUAGCCUCUGACUGGCUCAGGCCUUGGACCUGGGCACCUCUCAGAUGGUUCCUCCUCAGCCCCUUCGAAGACUCCUCUCCCCUCUUCCCUGUUCCCUGGCCCAUCCUUAAAUGCUGGUGGCCCCUUCUCCUUGAGGUCUACACCCUCUGCCUUAGUUUGCUGCCCCCGCAGCACUUCUAGGGCCCUCUUGCUGAUGUGGGUUCGAGGAACUAAUAACCUUCCGAUGUCGCUGGCAGCAGGGAGGCCCCCACAGCCUGUCUAGAAAACAGUGAGGGGAAGUGUAGCACAAGGCUUCAUAUACCCCUCCCCUUUAGCCAGUAACUGUUUCCAGAAAUUCCGUUUCUAGGGAAAUAAUCUGAAAGAAACAAAGUGUUCCCUGCAUGAAGAUGUUUAUCAUAGGGUGAAGAGGAGACAACAGCCAGAUGCAACAAUAGGGAAGGGUUUUCUCCUACCUACUCCUGCGCGAGCUGGUGACCUCUGGGGCUCACUGGGUGCCGGACACUGUUCUCCAGCCUCUAUAUUAUUCGCUCCUUUAAUCCUUGUAACAACUUUUUGAAACAGGUACUAGUAACAUCCCCUUUGACAAGUGAAGAAACCGAGGCUUGGCAAGGUUAAUCAGCGUGCCCAAGGUCAGCCAGCUCCCUGAAGUCUGACUCUACCAGCCUCAACCGUUACCAGGGCGGCGAUGGUCAGCAGUCACAAUUACCAGGGGCUGCAGGAGAUCGUCAAAAUCUCGCAGAGCCUACGAUGAAGAAGACACAAGAGUUUGAGAGAGAGGAAGUCACUCGCUCCAGGUCAGCCAGCCAGCAAAUUGGGGAGGUCAGCCUUCAGAGCUCUGGCAACAGACCACUGCCAUGUCACAAAUAGCUUCCCAGCUUGCGAGAGUGUCUGGUAAGGGAUGAGUGAAUGGGGGAGACGGCAGGAAACUCAGCAGCCACAAAAGGGAGAGAUGUGCAGCCUGUUCAGGAACGAACACCAGGUGGAACAAAAGCGGGGCAGAACAAGAGCAUGUGCAUCCUCUUACCACCAUGACAUUAAGGCCAUGUCUGCACCCGGACCAAGAUGGGAAGGGAGCACAGAGCUGUGACUUCAGGGAAUAGGAAGGAUGGCAACAGACAUGGGGUUCUCUAUGACUUUCCAUUUUAUCUUCCAUUUUCACAGUAAGUUUUAAAACUCUACGUCUCCAGAUUCAGCAUGAGAAGGAGAAGUUCCUUGAAUCCUCUGGGCACUGGGGACAGCCAGUCCACCCACCCUGGGUAACAAAGGGAUGUGGUCAGUCCUCACGUGAGGAGGGACUGAGUGUCCUCCAUGGACCUGCGACGUCCCGUCUGUGAGGCCCUCGCUACUUUCUGCAAAUUUCUACAUGGAUCAGAGACAGGAGAAGCAGGCACACUGAUGGUUGUCUAGCACCACGUGCCAGUUUUUGGCAGUCGGGACCACCUCGACUUCCUGUCUCCAGGCAGGGUGGGGAGGGAAUGGUCCUUAUGCCCCAGGAGAGCCUCAAGGGCUGUGCACACCCUGCAAUGCAGGCACACCCCCUUCCACCCUCUGAAUGCUCUGCCACAAACAGCCACUGCGAGCGUAAUGAAGCCCCCAAAACAGGGAGCCCUGUGACUCACCACUGCUGCUUCAGGGACAGGGACAACUGCCAGAAUUCUUAGCUCUCUUUUACAGAUGGGGAAAUUGGGACUCAGAGAGGGAUGCGAUCUCUCCAAGCUCACACAGCCAAUCUGUGGCAGGGGAAUGAGAAAGUCUGGUCUGGUCUCCUCUCCCCAUGGCUGGGGCUCUCUCUGCAGUCCCGCCCUAUGCCCAGCCUGCACCCUCACCUGCCCCUGGCUCCUGGACUGGCAACUCAAGUCGUGACACGGACACGCUUUACCGAAUUUGCCUCCACACUUUGAGCGACUCAUUAGUAUAAAAAACACGUUCCUCACCACCCUUGCCAGAAGAUUCUUGACACAACACAGUUGGGGGGUUGGCACGCUCUCUCCGUUGUUAAGUAUUUAUAUAUAGUUAGUAUUGGAAUGGUCCCCGGACACCGAUCCAAGUCUCCCGUUUUCAGAUGGGGGGCACCAGGCUUAGGGUCAGGACCCCCCUGGAACAAUUCAGUAGCACAGCUGAGACAUAAAUCCACAGAGCCUGCCCUGAACUUUCCAGCUGCUCCUUGGCAAAUGGGCCAUGGGGAAAAAAAAUAAAUAAAGGCUGCCACUUACUAAGCAUUUGCUCUGUGCCAGGCACUUUGCAUAAAUCGGUGCUAAAUCUUAUCCUAAUUCUCUCAGGGAGGCAUUUUUAUCCCCAUUUUGCAGAUGAGCAAGCUGAGGCUCAGAGAGGGCAAGCCACCUGCCCAAGGUCACAGAGCCAGGGGCUGGAAAUGGCACACAUUUCUUCCCCCACGCCAGGGUUGGCAAAUGAUAGCCCAUAGGCAAAUUGAGCCCACCAUCUGUUUUUGUUGAAAUGGUUGAAAAAUAAUAGAAUAACAUUUCGUGACCCUGUGAAAAUGAUAUGCCGCUCAAAUUUUUGUGUUCAUAAAUAUACAGUUUUAUGAGAACACAGCCAUCUCCAUCCAUUUAUGUACGGGCUGUGGCUGCUUUCACCCUACAAGGGCAGAGUUGCAGCACUGCAACAGGGAUUGAAUGGGCUGCACAGCCUAAAAUAUUUACUAUCUGGCCCUUUGCAGGAAAAGCUUUCUAACUCCUGCCUUUUGCCGGGCUGUCUCCUGAAGGGUCUCAAAAGUAUGCAGCCCCCAUACGGUUGUGUAGGCCGUUUUCUGCACAAAAGCAUCAGGUGAAGGGGUCAAGGGCCUGCAAUCAGCCCUCCAUCUGCUUGCCAGGCUGUGCACCCUGGGGCCGGGUCCCCUGGAGGAAGGGCCUUUUCCUCACUUGUUCACCUUUCUGUGCUCCUUUUUUUUUUCUCUUUUUUCUUUUUUUUUUUGAGAUGGAG